rnacentral:rRNA from 1 species
AUUGAACGCUGGCGGAAUGCUUUACACAUGCAAGUCGAACGGCAGCACGGGUGCUUGCACCUGGUGGCGAGUGGCGAACGGGUGAGUAACAUAUCGGAACGUACCCAGUAAUGGGGGAUAACUAACCGAAAGGUUAGCUAAUACCGCAUACGCCCUGAGGGGGAAAGCGGGGGAUCGAAAGACCUCGCGUUAUUGGAGCGGCCGAUAUCUGAUUAGCUAGUUGGUGAGGUAAGGGCUCACCAAGGCGACGAUCAGUAGCGGUCUGAGAGGAUGAUCUGCCACACUGGAACUGAGACACGGUCCAGACUCCUACGGGAGGCAGCAGUGGGGAAUUUUGGACAAUGGGGGAAACCCUGAUCCAGCCAUUCCGCGUGAGUGAAGAAGGCCUUCGGGUUGUAAAGCUCUUUCGGCAGGGAAGAAACGGUUCUGGAUAAUACCCGGAGCUAAUGACGGUACCUGAAGAAGAAGCACCGGCUAACUACGUGCCAGCCGCCGCAGUAA